GCACUGUUCUGAAUGAAAUAUAAAGCCAAAGCCCUGAAUAACUGUGGCCAUUAGAUGGAAUUUUUUUUUUCAAGAGUGAAGGAGCUUGCUCCAGCAAGACCUAACCUGAGCAAGCUUGUUAUAACAACAGCACUACCUAGGUCCCAGCUCUGCAAGCAAGACCUCAGAGUGCUGAUGUGAGGGACCAUCUGCAAAAUAUCGUGCUUCCAACCAUGAAGAGAGAGAAGCAGGUCUGCACAGCGAUACUGCCGUUCCCCCGGUACCAGGCAUGUCUUAAUCAAUCCCCUUGAUGGUCUCUCUUGAAGAAUCUGAUUUCAGUGCUGAGUUCAGAGUGAUUGGAUGUGGUCAUGGCAUAUGGAUCUCUUCAAGUUGGAGAAGGGAUUUUGUCACAGGUGAGGUACUUCUACUUAUAUCCAUAUCACUAUGCAACCACCAUAAAUUAAGUUAUGCUCCCCAGAGGCCUUGGGUCCAUGUGAGAAUGGAAAACAUGUGAAUGGUGUGAAACCAGGAUUGCUCUGAUAGUGUUCUUCAUGAUCCAGCACAGCUGACUGCUCUCUCAGUGUCAGAUCGAUUUCUGGGUUCACCAGACUUUUGAACCAGUCCUUAUUUUGGAGGCUUCUGUGUCCUCAAAAAUGUCAAAAUUCUGACCAAAUGGAGCAUCCAUGCUUCUGUCAAGAACACUUGGAUUUAUUCUGUUUUAUUAUGGGCACUGAAAUUAGGCUGAAUCUAUACCUCAGUGGUGGGCAUUAUGCCUACAAGGUGAGACAGAGCUCAGAGCCACUGUGUCUCAGCUGAGGAAACAGUUUUAUCACACAUGUAAAAGAAUCAGUUUUG